rnacentral:lncRNA from 1 species
CAAUUGAUGGCGAAUCAAGAUCGUUGGAACGAAGGAGUAGUAAAGGAGUUUGUAGAUCUCAAAAAAGGUAAAAUUUCUAUCACAAUUCCUAUCUAAGCACAAAUAUGAAUCCUGGUGGGAAUUGAAAUUCGUUUCUAUUUCCGUUGUGCAUGAUAAAUAGAUUUCCAACAAUAUCAACAUACUAAUGGCAUGAGUUUUUCCCCUGAGAUAGUAAAUAUUACUGUUUGGAGCUGUCCUAGUCAAACAUUACACUAAAUUAUUGGCAUUGAUAUUAGUUUUCAUUUCAUCAUGUGAUUUACAGCUAAAAGCAAUACUGGUGUUGUAUUGCACUUUGGGUGCCAAUUAUUUUUAUAUGGAUUAUACAAUAUUUACAAUAAUAUUUACAAUGAAAUUUCUUGUCUUUUGUUUUAGAGGUGUGCCUUUUUUGGUUAGGUCUCGACUCACCUGCUUUAAAUCUACUGUGCCUUUUUAGUUCUAUUUCAUGGAUGCCCAGAUCAGGAUAUACUAUAUUCUCAACUUUAGUUGGAGGUAUAUGUGGCGCAUUUUGUCGAAUGGGAGAGGUCAGUGGUUCUUUUUUAUUUUUAAUCUCGAUGAUAUUAACUAUAUACAGUUUCCACUUCAUUUAUUAUACAACUUGAUGGUAUUCUUCACUUGUGAUUGUGAAUCUUCUAAUUCUUUACUGUGUUAUUGAAAUCAGUUUAUGUGGAUUCCUCUGUAUUGCUUAUUUCUCUCACAUUGCCAUAUGUGAAUGUUCUGGGAAAUGGAUAUGUUCCUUGUUCCGUAUCUAGCUGAUUGUGACUUGGAGUUAGUUCAGUGGCCUCCAUUUUUGCUUGCUUGCAAGGUUUUCAUUAUAAGCACAAAUAUGAAUCCUGGUGGGAAUUGAAAUUCGUUUCUAUUUCCGUUGUGCAUGAUAAAUAGAUUUCCAACAAUAUCAACAUACUAAUGGCAUGAGUUUUUCCCCUGAGAUAGUAAAUAUUACUGUUUGGAGCUGUCCUAGUCAAACAUUACACUAAAUUAUUGGCAUUGAUAUUAGUUUUCAUUUCAUCAUGUGAUUUACAGCUAAAAGCAAUACUGGUGUUGUAUUGCACUUUGGGUGCCAAUUAUUUUUAUAUGGAUUAUACAAUAUUUACAAUAAUAUUUACAAUGAAAUUUCUUGUCUUUUGUUUUAGAGGUGUGCCUUUUUUGGUUAGGUCUCGACUCACCUGCUUUAAAUCUACUGUGCCUUUUUAGUUCUAUUUCAUGGAUGCCCAGAUCAGGAUAUACUAUAUUCUCAACUUUAGUUGGAGGUAUAUGUGGCGCAUUUUGUCGAAUGGGAGAGGUCAGUGGUUCUUUUUUAUUUUUAAUCUCGAUGAUAUUAACUAUAUACAGUUUCCACUUCAUUUAUUAUACAACUUGAUGGUAUUCUUCACUUGUGAUUGUGAAUCUUCUAAUUCUUUACUGUGUUAUUGAAAUCAGUUUAUGUGGAUUCCUCUGUAUUGCUUAUUUCUCUCACAUUGCCAUAUGUGAAUGUUCUGGGAAAUGGAUAUGUUCCUUGUUCCGUAUCUAGCUGAUUGUGACUUGGAGUUAGUUCAGUGGCCUCCAUUUUUGCUUGCUUGCAAGGUUUUCAUUAUAUUUUUUAAGUCAUAACUCUUCCUUUUGUUAAAGGGAGAUUUUGGUUAAUUCCAUUUAAUCCCUAUGUUAACCAUCAAAUCAAAGCAAAUUCACCUUUUCUUUGCCUACCUUUGGCCUCACAAAUGUUUGAAGACAUGGUUUAUGGCUUUGAAUUGGUGGUUAACAGAGGGAUUAAAGGAAGUUGAUAAAAAAAAAAAAAAAAAUGCUAGAAUAUAACUGAAUCACCGGCAAUUUGGUUAUCUUGAACUAUGAAUUAAUCUCAUUCAUUCUUGCUUCAUUUUUUUUUUCUCUCUUGUUUGCAUCACUCCUUGUGGGUUAUGUUGUGUAAUUAGGGGUGUUGAGGUAUACUUAUUUUUUGGUCGUGUUUUAUUUGACUUAACAAGCUUGAGUGGCUCAUAUUUGUAAUGAUGACUUGUUACUAUAUACGGAACUUAGAAACUGUUCAUCUUUUUAAUUGUUUUAGACAAUGUUUGACUAUCCUUCUUGCAGGUCAAAGUAAAUUUUAGCCUGGUUCGGAGAAAGAAUAAGGGAAAUUAUUCCGAGCUUCAUCUAUGGCCACAUGUAUAAAGUUCAGGAUUAUGUUCUUAUUCGAUUUGACUAUGAUAGUUGAUCCCUUCAAAGCAUCAUGUUAGAAAUUUAUCGAGCAUUUAUGAGAUUUUUGGGUACAAUAAUUUAUUUGAUAAUUUACUAUUGAUUUUUUCCCUUUUUGACAGUUCGUUAAUUUGGUUUAGUUUGUAUUUGUUUUGGUUUUGGAGAUAACCAAGUUUGUAAAUAAUACCUUGGUCUAUAUCUAUCUGGUUGACG